rnacentral:misc_RNA from 1 species
GUUCAAACCAGUUCUUAUUCCUGGCCGAUUCUAGUAUAAUUUUAAUUUGAUUUGAUUUUAGUUUUUGAUGAUUUCAAUUCCAGUUCAAAAACAAUUUGAUCCGCGUGAAGCUCUUUUAAAGCCAUAACCUUUUACAUAAAAAUGAUUUGAACCAAAACCAAAGCUAGGGAUACCUCUUGCUCACAGGUCAAUUGGAGAUGAGAGAGAGAGAGAGAAGUUAGAAGUAAGAUGGGAGAGGCAAAACAUGAGUAGCAGCGUUCAUUCCUAUCUCCAAACUUCAUAUAAUAGCAAACUUUACUGCUACGAAAGUUAAACAAUCUCACGUGAGCGCCAACAGCCUUUAAUUUCCCUCCCCCACACACACAGUAUCCGCCACUUCUCAUUUGUAGAUCGUUUUGCAUCGCUGGGACCAGGUUCUUCCCACUAAGAUGCAGCUUUGGAUACAUCUUUGCUGGACCUGUUGUACUUCAUGUGACUCUUGACAAGCUGCCCAGCUGCAAUGGCAGACAUCAGGGAGAGCUCCCCAGCCAAAACUGAACCAGCCACUAUGGUGGCCAGGAGCCUCGAGUAUGAACCUGGCGACUCUUUGCAUGCACCCAUCACACCAAGCAAAUUCAGACAAGCAGACUGAGAUGCAAGUUGAGUUCCACCUCCGACUGUACCCACCUCAAUGGAGGGCAUGGUCACAGAGAUAUGGAGAUCCUUUCCAUCAUUGACAGCUUCCAUCAUGGUAAUGCAAUGAGAACUCUCAACAUUCUGUGCUGGAUCCUGGCCAGUGGCAAUAAAGAUUGCAGAAACAAUGUUGCCUGCAUGGGCGUUAAAUCCUCCCAGAGCACCAGCAACAGCGGAACCAGCAAGAUUCUUGAGCAUAUUGAGCUCCACUAAUAAGGCAACGUCAGUUUUCAACACCUUCUUCACCACCUCUUCCUUGAUAAUUGCCUCGCAAACAACUGAUUUUCCACGUCCUUCAAUCCAGUUUACAGCGGCAGGUUUCUUGUCCGAACAAAAAUUUCCUGAGAUGCCAAUGACAUCCAUAUCAGCAAAAUCACUUUCAAGGAAUUCAAGAACAUUUUGAACCCCUUUGGAAACCAUGUUCAUCCCCAUUGCAUCGCCGGUGCUGCAGCUGAAUCUGAUAUAAAGAUUCUUGCCGGCAAUAGAGCAUUGAAUGCCUUGGAGCCUCGCAAAUCUACUGGACCUGUUGAAAACGACGGCCAGAGCGUCGAAAUUGUGAGGAUCCUCCAAGAAGAACUUCAACUCCGCGGCUCUAGUAGUCGUCCCGAAUCUAACAACAGGCGCUCUUGUCAUCCCAUCCUUCAACAAGACGCUGGUGGCCCCACCUGACAAGUAGAUCGCCUUACACCCUCUAUUGGUGCUCGCUACCAAACAACCCUCCGUGGUAGCCAUCGGAAUAGAGUAUUCCCGCCCGUCCAGCAACAAAGGACCCGCAAUCCCCACCGGAAUCUGCACGUACCCCACUGGCAUUUCACAGCAUUGCCCUAAAAUCGACCCGUAAUCGAACCCUUCUAGAGGCAAGCCUUCGAGCGACCUCCCCGUCAUUCUCUGCAAAGCCUCGCGUCGAAUCGCAGCCGCUCGCUUGCAGUCCCCUAGCUUGGAUUCCAGAGAAUAAGAUGGAAUCGUUCCAUUCACGAUGGAGUUGACGAUCAUUUCGUCUUCCUCCGAGGCUAAAGGUGUAAUUAUAGGUUCCGAAGCAGGCAAUUUGGGAGGUGCGGAUACAAUGUUAGUCUUGGUAGAGAUAUUUGCAGGAGGGCAAGUAACGAGGCGGUGAUCUUCGUUGAUGAGGUAGUUAGGAUUUGUAUCGUUAAGUUCCCACACGUCAUGGGAGGCGCGUGCGAUGAAUGACUGAACAUAGUCGAUGCCGAAGAAUCCAAGGAGGUAAAUGAAGGAGGCAAUGAGGGAUACAAUAGCAGCAAUUUCAGAGAGAGUGACAAUGUGAAGGGGAAUAGAGUUGCGGAUCUUGUCUCGCCACCGGUGAAGGAGGUAAUACGCCACCGAGAAGAACAGCGUGAAGAAAACGGCGUUGGUCAGGUGGAGUGGCAGCGGAAGCGCGUCCGACGCUUUCGGAGCGGUUGAUGGAGAUCGGUCGUCAACGACAGCAGAAUGCUUUCGUUUGCGGAGGUUGCCAUGUGGGGCGGUGGAGCGCAGUGGCUUGGGUAGUCGCCGGAAGGUGUCCAUGUAAAAUAUGCCGGCGCAGGAUAGGGAGAGGAGUAGAAAUUCUCCUUUUUUAGUAGAAGUAGUGUUAGUUAUUAUGAUGAUUUUCCAGGGUGUGAAAGAGGUAGAAGACUCGUCGUUCGUGUGCGCAUGUGUGUUGGCGGUAGCAGGAGGAAUCAACGGUGAGCGGAGUUUUAGGACAUCUGCGACAAUUUUAUAAGAAGGGAGCGGGAGCCUAGUGCCCACACAUGUGGCGUACGUGACGUGUCCCUUGGCAUUUUCCUCACUCUCCUUCGCUCUU